rnacentral:rRNA from 1 species
GACGAACGCUGGCGGCGUGCUUAACACAUGCAAGUCGAACGGAAAGGCCCUGCUUUUGUGGGGUGCUCGAGUGGCGAACGGGUGAGUAACACGUGAGUAACCUGCCCUUGACUUAGGGAUAACUUCAGGAAACUGGGGCUAAUACCGGAUAGGAGCUCCUGCUGCAUGGUGGGGGUUGGAAAGUUUCGGCGGUUGGGGAUGGACUCGCGGCUUAUCAGCUUGUUGGUGGGGUAGUGGCUUACCAAGGCUUUGACGGGUAGCCGGCCUGAGAGGGUGACCGGCCACAUUGGGACUGAGAUACGGCCCAGACUCCUACGGGAGGCAGCAGUGGGGAAUAUUGCACAAUGGGCGGAAGCCUGAUGCAGCAACGCCGCGUGCGGGAUGACGGCCUUCGGGUUGUAAACCGCUUUCGCCUGUGACGAAGCGUGAGUGACGGUAAUGGGUAAAGAAGCACCAGCUAACUACGUG